GUGCUCUCUUUGGCAGCAUAAAUACUAAAAUUGGAAUGAUACAGAGAAGAUUAGCAUGGUAUCUGCGCAAGGACGACACACAAAUUCAUAAAGCUUUCCAUACUUUU